rnacentral:rRNA from 1 species
AGUGAACGCUGGCGGUAGGCCUAACACAUGCAAGUCGAACGGCAGCACAGUAAGAGCUUGCUCUUACGGGUGGCGAGUGGCGGACGGGUGAGGAAUACAUCGGAAUCUACUUUUUCGUGGGGGAUAACGUAGGGAAACUUACGCUAAUACCGCAUACGACCUACGGGUGAAAGCAGGGGAUCUUCGGACCUUGCGCGAUUGAAUGAGCCGAUGUCGGAUUAGCUAGUUGGCGGGGUAAAGGCCCACCAAGGCGACGAUCCGUAGCUGGUCUGAGAGGAUGAUCAGCCACACUGGAACUGAGACACGGUCCAGACUCCUACGGGAGGCAGCAGUGGGGAAUAUUGGACAAUGGGAGCAAGCCUGAUCCAGCCAUACCGCGUGGGUGAAGAAGGCCUUAGGGUUGUAAAGCCCUUUUGUUGGGAAAGAAAAGCAGCAGGUUAAUACCCCGCUGCUCUGACGGUACCCAAAGAAUAAGCACCGGCUAACUUCGUG